rnacentral:rRNA from 1 species
UACAGAGGUCCCGAGCGUUGUUCGGAUUCAUUGGGCGUAAAGGGUGCGUAGGCGGCGGGGUUAGUUUGAUGUGAAAUCCCGGGGCUCAACCCUGGAAUUGCAUUGAAUACUACCUUGCUAGAGUACCGGAGAGGAAACUGGAAUUUACGGUGUAGCAGUGAAAUGCGUAGAGAUCGUAAGGAAGACCAGUGGCGAAGGCGAGUUUCUGGACGGUAACUGACGCUGAGGCACGAAGACCAGGGGAGCAAACGGG